rnacentral:rRNA from 1 species
UGGCGAACGAACAGGGAUGAGCUCGGCUUGGAAACUGGGGCCUUGGCUCUGGAUUGUAGCCUCGAGACAUAUUGCCAACGGAGGCGCAGGUGUAAGCCUCUUGGAAAAGAGCAUCAACGUGGGUGAGAAUCCUGUGUUUCAUCUGCAGUCCACCGUGCACGGCACAUGUUCUCAGAGUCGCGUUCCUCGGAAUUGGAGCGUAAAGUGGGUGGUAAAUUUCAUCUAAAGCUAAAUAUAGGCUUGAGACCGAUAGCAAACAAGUACCAUGAGGGAAAGAUGAAAAGGACUUUGAAAAGAGAGUUAAAAGUGCUUGAAAUCGCUGAAAGGGAAGCGAAUGGAACCAGUCCUCUGGCUGAGAUUGUUGCAUGCUCCUGUGAUACCUGGCUGCUUCAGCGCAAGCGUUGCAGUUGGUGUUGAGCGGCUGUGUGUGGUGACUCUCAGCUUGUUAGUCAACCGCUGUUCAUACUUGAGGAAAGCCCCAGGUUCAUGAUUCUUCUCUGUGGAGUCGGUCUUGUGCUUGUGGGGACCCAGGUGUGUACAGUUUCCUGAGUGUCUGGUGCUAACGCCUGGUGAUGCUCUGUGUGGGUGUUGCUUUUCCAAGCUUCGCUCGCUCGGGUGUCCUCGGUGAUCUCCUGACAUACAGUGGUGACGAAAUGGUUCUCUUCGACCCGUCUUGAAACACGGACCAAGGAGUCUAGCACAUGUGCGAGUUCACAGGUGGUAAGCCUGCUUGCGCAAUGAAGGUGACAGCUGGGAUUCUUGCACCAGCAACCGACCAAUCAAUUGAGAGAAGUUUGAGUAUGAGCAUAUGUGUUAGGACCCGAAAGAUGGUGAACUAUGCCUGCGAA